GAUGAACGCUGGCGGCGUGCCUAAUACAUGCAAGUCGAACGGGGAGUAGCAAUACUCUUAGUGGCGAACGGGUGAGUAACGCGUUGGUACCUGCCCCGAAGCGGGGGAUAACGGACCGAAAGGUCCGCUAAUACCCCAUGUGCUCGGUAACGAGUAAAGGUGAAAACCACUUUGGGAGGGGCCUGCGUCCCAUCAGCUAGUUGGUAAGGUAGCGGCUUACCAAGGCGAUGACGGGUAGGGGACCUGAGAGGGUGGCCCCCCACAAUGGAACUGAAACACGGUCCAUACACCUACGGGUGGCAGCAGUAGGGAAUAUUGGUAAUGGGCGCAAGCCUGAACCAGCAACGCCGCGUGUGCGAUGACGGCCUUCGGGUUGUAAAGCACUUUUGACUGGGACGAGGAAGGACGGUACCGGUCGAAUCAGCCUCGGCUAACUACGUG
rnacentral:rRNA from 1 species